GUGACGACAGGCAGACGGCGAAAGGUGAGCGGGGAUUUGAACGCUGA
rnacentral:snoRNA from 1 species